rnacentral:rRNA from 1 species
UACGUAGAGUGCGAGCGUUAAUCGGAAUUACUGGGCGUAAAGCGUGCGCAGGCGGUUAUACCAGUCAGAUGUGAAAUCCUGGGGCUCAACCUCAGAAUUGCAUUUGAAACUGUAUAGCUAGAGAAUGUUAGAGGAAAGUGGAAUUCCUAGUGUAGGAGUGAAAUCCGUAGAGAUUAGGAGGAAUAUCGAUGGCGAAGGCAGCUUUCUGGGACAUUUCUGACGCUGAGAGACGAAAGCGUGGGUAGCAAACAGG